rnacentral:rRNA from 1 species
UCAGGCCUAACACAUGCAAGUCGAGCGGCAGCGGGAAAGUAGCUUGCUACUUUUGCCGGCGAGCGGCGGACGGGUGAGUAAUGCCUGGGAAAUUGCCCAGUCGAGGGGGAUAACAGUUGGAAACGACUGCUAAUACCGCAUACGCCCUACGGGGGAAAGCAGGGGACCUUCGGGCCUUGCGCGAUUGGAUAUGCCCAGGUGGGAUUAGCUAGUUGGUGAGGUAAUGGCUCACCAAGGCGACGAUCCCUAGCUGGUCUGAGAGGAUGAUCAGCCACACUGGAACUGAGACACGGUCCAGACUCCUACGGGAGGCAGCAGUGGGGAAUAUUGCACAAUGGGGGAAACCCUGAUGCAGCCACGCCGCGUGUGUGAAGAAGGCCUUCGGGUUGUAAAGCACUUUGAGCGAGGAGGAAAGGUCAGUAGCUAAUAUCUG